rnacentral:rRNA from 1 species
UUGGCGGACGGGUGAGUAACGCGUAAGAACCUGCCCUUGGGAGGGGGACAACAGCUGGAAACGGUUGCUAAUACCCCAUAGGCUGAGGAGCAAAAGGAGGAAUCCGCCCAAGGAGGGGCUUGCGUCUGAUUAGCUAGUUGGUGAGGCAAUGGCUUACCAAGGCGACGAUCAGUAGCUGGUCUGAGAGGAUGAUCAGCCACACUGGGACUGAGACACGGCCCAG